AUGUGGGAGCAGGAGGCCUUUUCAACAUUUGGCCUCAUCUUGAUGGUGAGCCUCCGGAUCAGAAAUGCAUUGACUGGUGGAUCAGGAAACCAUGCCAGGCUGUUUCAUUACAGAGAAAACAUGAGAGCUUUCAGUAGAACAGGGACCCACACACAGACAUUCAUGUCCCUGUGCACAUUGGGCUGACUGUGCUUGCAGAGUGUGAAACGGGAAAUAUCUGAACGAACACAUCUGUACUUGCAGAAAAUGACCAAGAUGAGGAUAAAGAUGUUCAUGUCGCAGAGGCUGAGCAAAGACAGGAGUCACGUGUCCCCAGGCUCAUCAGGGAGGUGCCAAAGGUUGGUGUCAAGAGAGUCCUUGAAGACUCACCGGAGGAAUGUGUCAUCACUCGUUCAGAUAGCUAUGGCCCUUCUGACUCCAGCCAGCCUCACGGAAACACCAAUGAAAUCACAUUUCAGGAAGACAAAGUAAACUCUGCACUGGUUGUCGAGAGUCCAUCAUCUCAUGAUGUAGUGGAGGAUGCUCUAAUCAUUCUUUCAG